AAACUCUCUACUUGAACUGUAUUUGUACCAACAUUCAUACAGCACAAAUUUGCAUCAUGUUUUUCCUGAUUAUGGGACACCAGUCUUGGAAUCUAGCAGCAGCACCCCAGCCAGUGAUAUCACGAAUUGGAGGCGGACACACAGGGGUCUAUUUAUGAAGCAGCGGAUGCUGCUUCCGACCCUCUCCGCUUUGGAAAAAGCCGGUCCUGCAAUAAGGAGUAAGAAGUCCUGCCCAUUCAGAGCUGGUAUCAUCUGACCAGAAAGAAGAUGUUUUUGUAUUGAUAUAUCUUUAUUGAUAUUACAUAAUAGAACACCAUGGUCACACUAAACAAUACAAUGUAAUAUCAAAUAAUCCUUUUAGGACAAAAGUGACCAACAUGUCAUAAAUACAUUAGCAAGUAAGGAUAA